CCGAAAUUAUCUAAACCUAUUCUUUAGUUCACUUUUCAAUCUUCAUUCGGUCUUCUACUCUUCUUCCUUUGCUUCGCCGCCGCUUCGCCCUUUUGUUUUUCAGCCAACAAUCUUCCUCCAUAGCCUGCCCCUGCUUCACCUUCACGGCUUCACCACCACCUUCAGUUGCUGAUCAGAAGCAAGAUGAUGGUUUUGAUGAGUUUGAUCCUCGUAGCUCAUUUUCAGGUGAAUAGCUUAAUUUGAGAGAAAAUGAACCAAUCUUGAUAAGAUGUAUUGAGUGAAGGGGCGACAGAGCAAGAAGAAAUGAAGAAGAAACGAAGGCUGCUGAUUUAUGGAAGAUCCGUGGAUGGAUCCUUGUGGAUUCAUGCACGCAUCCAUGUCUGUUGUCGAAGUUAAUGUUGGACACUGCAACUGUGUUUGUCUACCAAACUGGAGUAAUCAAUGACCCGCGCUGGACUUAUCAUUGGAAGUAGCGCCACACUUUGCGCAAACUCAUUUUUCUUCAGUUUUAAGAAUCCUAUUCUUUCGGGGAUUCAACUGGGACUUUAGUAAACUAUGCAUAGUACUUACACAUUCUUAAGAGGAAACACUUGUCUACCAUUAGUUUUAGGGCUUGCUUUAGAGAUUCAAGAUUCAAACUUAGAGAUCAAGGCAUGGGAUUUAGAGAUGCCAUCAAUUGAGAAACUCUAUUCUAAGUUUUGUAUUAUCUAAUCUUGAAUUCUUGUUUACUCUUACAAUUAUGAUGAACUAAUUUAUAGCCAGGGUUAGAAUUUUGUGAAAGA